AGUUCAUUUUACAACACCCCUAUUAGAAUAUACUCAUUCAUUUCCAAAUUGCAGGUCAUUUUACUUAUAACGUUGAUCUGACGGGAUUCAAAAAUGGCUCACAUAGAAUUCACUUGUCAGGUUGAUCUGGCUCCACUUCUGAGAGACAAGGCAGAGGUUGGGGCCCCCCUCUAUGUACGGACGUCUUCAGCGUACAGUUCGUGUCCGGCCACGCAUGAUGGGCCGGGGUCGCUGUUAAUCCGUGACCAACUGCACGUUUUGGAACUUCGUUCCCAAAAAAAAAAUCGAAAAAGAGAAGACCCAACUUCACCUACCUGCACAUGUAUUACGUACUACUACAAGGCCCAGCACAUGUCUGCUUUUCUUUCCAGCGACUACGACACUUACCGUACCCAAUAUGAAUCCCCAGUUUUCAUAACAGAUGGACUUUCAAAAUACUCAUUUUAGAAAGUCUAGCUAGUUGCUUUCAAAAUAUUCAUUUUAUUUGUUCAAUAAAUAAGAACAUGAAGGCCUUUUCACACAACUACUAAUCUGUUUUGAGAAAAAAAAAACUAAGAUUGUACUUUUAUGAGAUGGAGGGAGUACAUGUUAUAUUUUAUGGAGGCAAAAAAAAAA
rnacentral:lncRNA from 1 species